GUUCCUCAACAGAUGAUGAAGAGGAAGGGCCAAUGAUGUGAAGGCCCAGAUCCAUCAGAGUAUCAAUGUUCUUCCUCUCUCUCCUCCCCUCUCACUGCAGACAUGAACCACUGGCUGAGAAACAUCCUGAUUCUGACUCUCUGGCUAGAGUGUAAAGGAGAAGACAGAGUGACCCAGCCAGCAGGAGAUGUCAUUGCUGCUGAAGGAGACACAGUUACACUUGACUGUACUUUUGAGACCAGUGACACAGGUCCAACUUUGUUCUGGUACAAACAGGAUGGAAACAACAGCCCCAAAUUCAUGUUGAGCCGCUUUCAACGGGAUGAAGGGAAAACCGAGGAAGAGUUUAAGGAGAGAUUUUCAUCCACACUGGAUUCCACCUCAAGAUCAGUUCCUCUGAAGAUCCAGAAGGUUCAGCUGUCUGACUCUGCUGUGUACUACUGUAUUGUUCUCACAGACAAUUGA